ACGAAAAGAUCAUUAAAUGCCUUAGUGUAUGCUUAUACUUCCUGCCUAUAGGUGACUGCAUAGUGACUGGAAUAAGCAUGCAAAAUGUUCUACUAAUUGGGGAGAAUCUUGGUGGCUGUGCAUCUAUUUCUGGAUCAUUGCUUAGGGAGAAUACUGGCUGUCAAUGUGUUUGUUGUCAAGAAAUUGAUAUUUUGGAGAAAACCCAUAAGGCGUAUUGUAUUUAUUGAUGUAUUAGGAAGUUUUUCUGCACUUGGAGUUUUGAUUGCAAUUUGACAAAUGUCUGGAUUGGUAUUCAUUUGAAGCCAAACUUUCUUGUGUUUUUGUAUGUUGUUAGCUACAGUAAAGUGGGUUGUAAGAGAGUAAUUUGUUUUUUUAUUU